CACCAGCACAAUGCAAGCCAUGGGGAGGAAGAAGGUAAUUUGUCAAACUGAUGUCUCAGGUAAGGUGCCACUCUACGCAUUGCAGAGUUGUGGCAGAUACCCCAGACCUGUUCUCUGUUCCAUUUUCAAAAAUGCUUUCCAACAUUGAGCUUCUCUCUCCUGCUAGCCCUAAAAGAAGAUCCCCCUAGAAAUCUCCUGGAAGAGAGGAAAUCAGAUCAACUGGGGCUGCCUCAGACCUUGCAGCAGGAAUUCUCCCUGAUCAAUGUGCAAAUCCGGAAUGUCAAUGUGGAGAUGGAUGCGGCAGACAGGAGCUGCACAGUGUCUGUGCACUGCAGCAACCAUCGUGUCAAGAUGCUGGUGAAGUUCCCUGCGCAGUACCCAAACAACGCCGCCCCUUCCUUCCAGUUUAUUAACCCCACAACCAUCACAUCCACCAUGAAAGCUAAGCUGCUGAAGGUGGGGGUCUGGGUUCCCAAAUUCUCCUUGCUGUUCUGCAUCAUUGUCUAGAUGGAUUAGUAAAGAAGAAUGAAAACUCC
rnacentral:sRNA from 1 species